GAUGAAGAACGUAGCGAAAUGCGAUACGUAGUGUGAAUUGCAGAAUUCAGUGCAUCAUCGAAUCUUUGAACGCACAUUGCACCUCUCGGUAUUCCGGGAGGUAUGCCUGUUCGAGCGUCAUUUGUACCCUCAAGCUCUGCUUGGUGUUGGGUGUUUGUUCCGCCUCUGUGUGUGAACUCGCCUCAAAACAAUUGGCAGCCGGCGUACUUGUUUCGGAGCGCAGCACAUUUUGCGAUCCAGAUCAACGUACAGCGGCAUCCAAGAAGCCUUAUUUAACGCUCUUGACCUCGGAUCAGGUAGGGAUACCCGCUGAACUUAAGCAUAUCAAUAAGCGGAGGA
rnacentral:misc_RNA from 1 species